rnacentral:rRNA from 1 species
UGGGGGAUAUUGCACAAUGGGCGAAAGCCUGAUGCAGCGACGCCGCGUGGGGGAUGAAGGCCUUCGGGUUGUAAACUUCUUUUGCUCUGAACAAGGCAUGCCUUUGGGGUGUGUUGAGUGUAGGGGUUGAUUAGCGCCGGCUAACUACGUGCCAGCAGCCGCGGUAAUACGUAGGGCGCGAGCGUUUUCCGGAAUUAUUGGGCGUAAAGGGCUUGUAGGUGGCUGGUUGCGUCUGUCGUGAAAGCUCAUGGCUUAACUGUGGGUUUGCGGUGGGUACGGGCUGGCUUGAGUGCAGUAGGGGAGGCUGGAAUUCCUGGUGUAGCGGUGGAAUGCGCAGAUAUCAGGAGGAAUACCGGUGGCGAAGGCGGGUCUCUGGGCUGUUACUGACGCUGAGGAGCGAAAGCGUGGGGAGCGAACAGG